UCUUCCGUACGGCUCCUGCACUUCUCAAUUUUAGAAAUUAAGCCCUGAGAAGCUUUCUAAACUGAGCUUCAGAUAAAAAAACGGAGAGCCUAACAAAAUAGUAGAAAUCGACGAAGCGGGUCGAAUACUGAUUGUUUAUUAAGAGGUGUCAUUUCCUUCAGAAUGCUACAGGAACAACUGGCACAGCUUUUCGCGGCAUCUUCGCCAGGGCUCAAUGGUAGCCAAUUUUCACAGUCGACUAGAUAAUACAAUUCCAAGGAACGAUAGGCAAAACUUUGGCUAAUCUACUUCAACUUUCAGGAAUUUGAUUGCAGGUAGUUUUCACGGUCGAUGGGAUAAUAUUUAACAAAAUAGAAAACAAGCGAUAGAAUACCUGUAAGUCUAUUUGAUGCUAUUCUGAGAAUCCGGGAAGAUUUAUUACUUUCAAGCAAGUACUGAAAGAAAAUCAUGUCUCAGGACUAACCACCCUGGUCGGUACGUUAGUUGAUGGAGCUGGCUGACAUAUCAUUGGGCUCUGUUUCAAAUCCUGAUAAAGCUUAUCUGGACUCAUUAUUUGAAUAAAUAUCAACGAUCCCGUAGUCGCAACAACUGGUAUCAGAAGUAAGGCUUCUUUGAAUGGACAUAAACAGGAGGAUGAACGAGCAGCUGAAUGCCAUAAUGGAAAUAAUUGUUGCCAGUCAGAAAGAGGCAGCCUCAAAUGCUGCUGAGAUGAAGAAGCAGCACAAAUAAAAGAAAGUACCUUGUCAAUACUCACGUAUGAAGAUUAUAUUCGCCAUCGAAGGAAAGUCAUCAGUAUUAUGAACGAAAACGUAACCGCUGUAAGAGAAAAAUUACAAAUACAAGUAGUGAAUGUUAGUCAAGAGAUCUCUGCGCUGAACGAGAGACUGGAUAAAGCGAUUCUAAUAGUGGAACAGGAAUUUGUAGAACCAUUUCCAUGCAUAAACAAUGUACCAACUUAGCCUGCUUUGAAUAAUGUUCUGGUUCAGUUAUCUCAUCCCACAGUUAAGUUCUUGGCAUAUGAUGAAACGUCAUCAUAGAACGCGUAAGACACAGUUCUAAAUGCUUUCUAAGGCAAAUUAGCGGGACGCUGUCACCAAAGCGUUAAAUCUGGCAGCCCGUUUACGAGGACAGGCAGCGGACAUAAUACAGGUACUCCCAGCUGAAAAACAUUCGGAUCUGACUCCUUAAUUAAUGCGUCAGAAGUGCGAUUUGAAGAACUAUUUCUCAGAGAUUACCACUGACUGCAACUUAAGCCUCGAAAGCAGAGAGAAAAAGAGACACUUCAAGAACCGGUAAUUGACAUCGAAAAGUUAACGCAGCUAAUACUUCUGGAUUGCGACCAAGAAAUUAAAGAAACUUUGAGUCUUCAGUAUUUGUAAUUGUUAUCAGCGGUUCUGAAAUACAGAAAUCACUCCGAAUAGCAGACAAAGAAGAGCAAGAAAUUAAAAUGAGGUUUGCCCAGAUGGCCAGCAAAAAGACAUUAGUGCUGUAAGGUAGUGUUAACAGGGCAAAGGACAGAAUACUGAAAGUGGAUGGCGGAACUGACAAAAAGAAUAGAGGCAAUGGAAGAAUCCAAGAGGAAAUGGAGUAAAGAUAAAAAGAAAAUAAAACAUUAGAAGUGUAAUGGAGAAUGACAUAUACACAAAGAGUGUCGUGCGCGUCCAGUUCAAAAGAAGAAAAAUAUAUGUCGAAAAAACAACAGGGAAAAUACAUUCUUCAGAUGUCUUUUGUUAACCGCGGAGAUCAUGUACUGUGCGUGGAAGGAGAAAUCAACGGAUUUUCAUUUCGCAUGAUAGUAGAAACCAGAGUGAAAGUAACUAUUCUUCGAGCGAAUACACACUAGUAUGCAAGACUUAAGCAACAAAUUAAUUUUUCAGCAUAUAAUGAUGAAAAAUUUUAAAAGGGUCUUGUGCAGUCAGUACAAUGAAACGCCAACUCAAUUAAAAGGUGAUUCAUAUGCAAAUAUCAGCACCGCGACGUCAGAGAGUAUGCUAGGACACGCAAAACGCGAAAAAUCAGCGGGCGUAGUGCAAGAAGGAAGGAAGGCGUAUUUUCAGGCAUUCUUCAAGUGAAAGUUAGAUUGUAUAUGUAGUAUGGCUACAAGAAAACAUAUACCUUUCCACAUGGUGGAAUGAUAGGCAAGCUUUAUGAGAAUCGUAGUUUGAUAACUGCCACUCAAGAGUUUCGAACUGAUAAAAGUGUUGUUUCACGAGUUUGAAAAGCCUUAAAUACGGCAGGUACUGCUCUUUAAGAAAGGUUGUUAGUAAUCGGCCAAGGAAAACAGCGGUGACUAAUGAUAGAUAUAUUACCCUGCAAGUGAAAGGAGAUUGAGAUCAGACAGAGGGCAAUAUUGUUCAGCAGUUGCGUACUGCAACCUGAAGACAAGUAUUUUAGUUUACUGUGACCAUACGACUUAAUAAUGGCGGCCUAUUCGCCCGUGGUCUUCAACGCUGUUUGCUAUUGACAGCAGCUCAUCGGGCACCGUUUACAGUGGUCUAGGAAACACAAAGACUGGGCACUUCAAUGUAGUCCUGUCACGUCAUCAGUGAAAUUUACCGAUGACAGUCGUUUCAGUCUGACAAAUGGUUCUCGGUGCCAGUUAAUGAUAUAAAGAGAAGCAUGGAUACGCUUUCAUCCCACUACCUUCAGGGAAAGAGAAUUUUGGAGUGGUCUUGCGUUCUUGUAUAGGGAAAGUAUUAAGAUGAACUGCGGAGCUGUACAUUUUCGAAAAAGGUUCACUUGCCGGAAACUGUAGCGUGAUGAAUUCAUCCUCCUCCACGUGUGUCUUUCCCGGAUGCCAUUGAUCUCGAUUUAUUUUUACGGAUGACCAUGCACGACCACACAAGCUUCAUAGUGUUGAGGAGGUCCUGGAAAGGGAAGAUAUCCACAGAAUGGAUUGGCCAGUGUGCUUCCUUGAUUUAAAUCUAAUUGAACUUACUUGGAAUACUUUAGGGAGACGCUUGCGGCACAAUCUUACGCUCUGAAAAAAAAAACCAGAAAGCUGAAAUAGACGCUCUUUGAAAAAUGGUAAUUCUUUUCCCAAGAACUAUUAGGUAAUUUGGUGUAGUAUAUCGAUAGGCGGUGCAACACAACCAUAGCAGUUAGAGGAGGUCAUAUGAAAUACUAAGGCUAUUUAGUUUGUUAUUCUUCCUGUUCACCACACAGUUCUUUGUACCAAGACCAUUCUGGCAAUAAAGCAUUUUUACAUUCAUUCCGUACUGUAUGCGUCCUAUUCAUUUUUUGCUCUAUAGUUUUUCUCAUCCUUUAAGUACCAAAUUAUGCCUCAGUAUGAAUUUUAUUCCUCCCAACUGGCAUUUUGAGGAAUUACGGCCCAAAUCAGAAAUUUGCUUAGUUUUGCACACUAGUGUAUCUCGACGGUUGAAAGGUCACCUGCUAUAUACGGCUCCAUCCUUAAAUCUACAAACCUGAAUAAAGAGAAAAUCUCAGUGCAUUGGAAAAUGACUGUGCACAUCAAGUUCCCAUCCUACGUAUAUGAAGUCAUAGUUUAUGUAAUUGAUAUAACCGAUCCAUGCAUUUUCGUCUUGAUUUCUGAAAAAGUAUGGAUUUUGUUUAGAUGUUAAAUCCUGAAUUAUGCUCCCUUAAUGAAGAAAUGCGAUGUUUGAAGUACAUGAAAUUAAAAAGAUCUACUAUAGGAUAAUUGCUCAUGAUAAAAUUACUAUACUUCCAAGCAUGGAAUGCAUCACCAUCAGCGGUGCGGUAAAGAGUCACGAGAAAUUGCAAUUCGGGAUUACUGAUUUUCCGAGGGAAAGUACUUGUUUUCGUAUUCUGCACCAGAAUCCAAAUUUCCAUAUUUAAGCUAGAGUGUGUAUUUUAGUUCAGAUUUAGUCUAUUUAAGCCGAAGGCUUUUGGAUCUUAGCCAGAGAGAGAUAGAAUUGCUGGUACUUGCGCUGCGCUGAUAGAUUCUGGCAGAUAAGUCUAAAUGUAAUUAUCCCGGAUUUACAUUAUCUCACAGCCGAUACUUUAAACUUAUGUACCGGUAAAUUAUUUGAGCUAGUUUGUAGCUCAGCUAUUUGGUCGCAUAGUUGUAGACUACUUUAUUCUAUGUUUAAAUUCAAGUGUCUAUUAUUGCUUAUUUUACAACGCCUCAAGUAGUGUUUACCUGUAGUACGUGUUGUGCCUAUGUUUGCUAAAAGUUCAGUUUAAUAAAUAGAUUGUUUAAAAUCUU